AUUGAACGCUGGCGGCAUGCCUUACACGUGCAAGUCGAACGGUAACAGGUCCUCGGAUGCUGACGAGUGGCGAACGGGUGAGUAAUACAUCGGAACGUGCCUAGUAGUGGGGAUAACUACUCGAAAGAGUGGCUAAUACCGCAUGAGAUCUACGGAUGAAAGCAGGGGAUCGCAAGACCUUGUGCUACUAGAGCGGCCGAUGGCAGAUUAGGUAGUGGGUGGGAUAAAAGCUUACCAAGCCGACGAUCUGUAGCUGGUCUGAGAGGACGAUCAGCCACACCGGGACUGAGACACGGCCCAGACUCCUACGGGAGGCAGCAGUGGGGAAUUUUGGACAAUGGGCGAAAGCCUGAUCCAGCAAUGCCGCGUGCAGGAUGAAGGCCUUCGGGUUGUAAACUGCUUUUGUACGGAACGAAAAGCCCCGGGUUAAUACCCUGGGGUCAUGACGGUACCGUAAGAAUAAGCACCGGCUAACUACGUGCCAGCCGCCGCGGUAA
rnacentral:rRNA from 1 species